UCUUGGUCAUUUAGAGGAAGUAAAAGUCGUAACAAGGUUUCCGUAGGUGAACCUGCGGAAGGAUCAUUAAACGCAAUUGGUUAUACAUUUCAUGUAUCAACUGCAUAAACCCAUUCCGAGUACCUUGCCUGUUGCUUCCAUGGGGCCUGACCUUGGUCACUCUUGAGAUGUGAAUCCCAGGAGAGUUCCCAUGGGAGGUAAUCAUUAAAUUCAUGUAUCCAAUGUCUUCUGUCUGAACUGUUUAUAACGAAUGUUAAAACUUUCAACAACGGAUCUCUUGGUUCUCGCAUCGAUGAAGAACGCAGCGAAAUGCGAUAAGUAGUGUGAAUUGCAGAAUUCAGUGAAUCAUCGAAUCUUUGAACGCACAUUGCGCCUCCUGGUAUUCCGGGAGGCAUGCCUGUUCGAGCGUCAUUAAAUACCUCUCAAGCAGAUUUGCUUGGUCUUGGAAGAUGAGUUUGCUUGCAUUCUCCCUUCUGAAAUUCAAAGGCGGAUGAUCUCAUAUCCCCAGGCGUAGUAAGAUUAUCUUUUCGCAUGGUGUGUGAGAUAGUCCAGCCGUCGACCCCCAAUUUUUUCAAGGUUGACCUCGGAUCAGGUAGGGAUACCCGCUGAACUUAAGCAUAUCAAUAAGCGGAGGA
rnacentral:rRNA from 1 species